rnacentral:sRNA from 1 species
GCUGGGCAUGGUGGCACACGCCUGUAAUCCCAGUAACUGGGGAGGCUGAGGCAGGAAGAGCGGGAGUUCAAAGCCAGCCUCAGAAGAUUAGUGAGGCCCUAAGCAACUCAGCGAGACCCUGUCUCUA